ACCUCAUGUAGAUUUGAAUAUACCCGCUGGUGUUCUCGAUUUGGAGUAUUAUAAUCAUAUUUUAAAUGAUGAAAAUCUGGAAUGUGGCAUGGAUAAUAAAAUGAAUAAGGAAAAUUUAAUUGAUGGUUCUCCUAUACAUGAAGCAGAUGAUAUUGAUUAUUUGGUUGAAUAUAACUUUGACGACGCAGUAAGCAACCAUGAUGGUGAUCUUUAUCUUGAUAUGGAAUCUGGAAUUGAUAAUUGUACUAAAAUGGAUUUGUAGAAAAGUUUGAAACAUGGUUCUCCAGUUGAAGGGAUGGAUUAACUUAUCUCUUAUAUUGUGAGUAUGCUUGAUACAAAGGGUUUAGCUUUAAGAAAGGGACUUAGAACUAUUUCAUGAAAACUGAAGAGGUGCGAAUGAAAGAAUAACUAUGCUCCUGUCAUGGAAUGUGAGAUAGUCGACGUCUUCAAGAAAGGUUG
rnacentral:lncRNA from 1 species